rnacentral:rRNA from 1 species
UACGGGGGGAGCAAGCGUUGUUCGGAUUUACUGGGCGUAAAGGGCGCGUAGGCGGCCAGCGCAAGUCAGUUGUGAAAUCUCCGGGCUUAACUCGGAAAGGUCAACUGAUACUGCGCGGCUAGAGUGCGGAAGGGGCAACUGGAAUUCUCGGUGUAGCGGUGAAAUGCGUAGAUAUCGAGAGGAACACCUGCGGCGAAGGCGGGUUGCUGGGCCGACACUGACGCUGAUGCGCGAAAGCCAGGGGA